rnacentral:rRNA from 1 species
AACCUUACCUGGUCUUGACAUCCACAGAAGAAUCCAGAGAUGGAUUUGUGCCUUCGGGAACUGUGAGACAGGUGCUGCAUGGCUGUCGUCAGCUCGUGUUGUGAAAUGUUGGGUUAAGUCCCGCAACGAGCGCAACCCUUAUCCUUUGUUGCCAGCGGUUAGGCCGGGAACUCAAAGGAGACUGCCAGUGAUAAACUGGAGGAAGGUGGGGAUGACGUCAAGUCAUCAUGGCCCUUACGACCAGGGCUACACACGUGCUACAAUGGCGCAUACAAAGAGAAGCGACCUCGCGAGAGCAAGCGGACCUCAUAAAGUGCGUCGUAGUCCGGAUUGGAGUCUGCAACUCGACUCCAUGAAGUCGGAAUCGCUAGUAAUCGUGGAUCAGAAUGCCACGGUGAAUACGUUCCCGGGCCUUGUACACACCGCCCGUCACACCAUGGGAGUGGGUUGCAAAAGAAGUAGGUAGCUUAACCUUCGGGAGGGCGCUUACCACUUUGUGAUUCAUGACUGGGGUGAAGUCGUAACAAGGUAACCGUAGGGGAACCUGCGGUUGGA